rnacentral:rRNA from 1 species
CCUACGGGUGGCAGCAGUGGGGAAUAUUGGGCAAUGGGCGCAAGCCUGACCCAGCAACGCCGCGUGAAGGAAGAAGGCUCUCGGGUUGUUAACUUCUUUUAAGAGGGAAGAGCAGAAGACGGUACCUCUUGAAUAAGCCACGGCUAACUACGUGCCAGCAGCUGCGGUAAUACGUAGGUGGCAAGCGUUGUCCGGAUUUACUGGGUGAAAAGGGCGUGCAGCCGGGAAGACAAGUCAGAUGUGAAAUCCCGCGGCUCAACCGCGGAACUGCAUUUGAAACUGUUUUUCUUGAGUACCGGAGAGGUCAUCGGAAUUCCUUGUGUAGCGGUGAAAUGCGUAGAUAUAAGGAAGAACACCAGUGGCGAAGGCAGAUGACUGGACGGCAACUGACGGUGAGGCGCGAAAGCGUGGGGAGCGAACAGGAUUAGAUACCCGAGUAGUC